GAUGAAGAACGCAGCGAAAUGCGAUAAGUAGUGUGAAUUGCAGAAUUCAGUGAAUCAUCGAAUCUUUGAACGCACAUUGCGCCCCUUGGUAUUCCAUGGGGCAUGCCUGUUCGAGCGUCAUUUGUACCCUCAAGCUUUGCUUGGUGUUGGGUGUUUGUCCUCUCCCUCGCGUUUGGACUCGCCUUAAAACAAUUGGCAGCCAGUAUUUUGGUAAUGAAGCGCAGCACAUUUUGCGAUUCUAGCUAUAAUACUUGCGUCCAUAAGCCUUUUUUAACUUUUGACCUCGGAUCAGGUAGGGAUACCCGCUGAACUUAAGCAUAUCAAUAAGCGGGAGGA
rnacentral:misc_RNA from 1 species